UGAGGAAUAUUGGUCAAUGGACGAGAGUCUGAACCAGCCAAGUAGCGUGCAGGAAGACGGCCCUAUGGGUUGUAAACUGCUUUUAUAAGGGAAUAAAGUGAGUCUCGUGAGACUUUUUGCAUGUACCUUAUGAAUAAGGACCGGCUAAUUCCGUGCCAGCAGCCGCGGUAAUACGGAAGGUCCGGGCGUUAUCCGGAUUUAUUGGGUUUAAAGGGAGCGCAGACGGGAGAUUAAGUCAGUUGUGAAAGUUUGCGGCUCAACCGUAAAAUUGCAGUUGAUACUGGUUUCCUUGAGUGCAGUUGAGGCAGGCGGAAUUCGUGGUGUAGCGGUGAAAUGCUUAGAUAUCACGAAGAACUCCGAUUGCGAAGGCAGCUCACUGGAGCGCAACUGACGCUGAAGC
rnacentral:rRNA from 1 species